rnacentral:rRNA from 1 species
AGGUUAAGCAUCUUGAGAUGUGGAUCCGAAGCGAAAGCGAGUCUGAACAGGGCGGAUAGUCGGAAGGAGUAGACGCGAAACCAAGUGAUCUACCCUUGGGCAGGUUGAAGGUUAGGUAACACUAACUGGAGGACCGAACCGAUAAGCGUUGAAAAGCUUCCGGAUGACCUGAGGGUGGGGGUGAAAGGCUAAUCAAACUUGGAGAUAGCUCGUACUCCCCGAAAUGCAUUUAGGUGCAGCCUUGAGAGUUACUAAUGUGAGGUAGAGCGACUGAUAAGAUGCGAGGGCUUCACCGCCUAUCAAGUCUUGAUAAACUCCGAAUGCGCAUUAGUUCUAUCUCAGGAGUGAGGGCAUGGGUGCUAAGGUCCAUGUCCUAAAGGAGAAGAAUCCAGACCAUCAGCUAAGGUCCCCAAAUAAACACUAAGUUGAACUAACGAAGUCAGAUUGCUAAGACAGCUAGGAUGUUGGCUUGGAAGCAGCCAUUCAUUUAAAGAGUGCGUAACAGCUCACUAGUCGAGGAGUUUGGCGUGGAUAAUAAUCGGGCAUAAGUGUUUUACCGAAGCUAUGGGAUCCUAAUGGAUCGGUAGGGGAGCAUUCCACUCAGCGUUGAAGGCGAAGCGUGAGCUUUACUGGAGCGUGUGGAAAAGCAAAUGUAGGUAUAAGUAACGAUAAAGGGGGUGAGAAACCCCCUCGCCGCAAGACUAAGGUUUCCUGAUCAACGCUAAUCGGAUCAGGGUUAGUCGGGUCCUAAGGCUCAGCCGAACGGUGAGGCCGAUGGCAGAACAGGUUAAUAUUCCUGUACUACCUAUAGGAGUGAUGUGGAGACGGAGGAGUGACAACGCCGCGGACUGACGGAAUAGUCCGUUAAAGGGUGUAGAUGUUGAUUAUCCCAGGCAAAUCCGGGAUAAGAGUCGAACCUGACAGUAUACCAAUUUCCUCGGAAAACGGUAAUAGUGCGUGUAAACAUACUCCCAAGAAAAUCCGCUAAACUUAAUCUUAUAGGUACCCGUACCGUAAACGGACACACGUAGUCGGGUUGAAUAUACUCAGGCGCUUGAGUGAAUCACGGUUAAGGAACUAGGCAAAUUGACCCUGUAACUUCGGGAUAAAGGGUCCCUACCCGGUGACGGGAGGGCGCAGAGAAUAGGUCCAGGCAACUGUUUAACAAAAACACAGGGCUGUGCAAAAUUGAAAGAUCACGUAUACAGCCUGACACCUGCCCGGUGCUGGAAGGUUAAGAGGAGAUGUCAUCGCAAGAGAAGCAUUGAAUUGAAGCCCCAGUAAACGGCGGCCGUAACUAUAACGGUCCUAAGGUAGCGAAAUUCCUUGUCGGGUAAGUUCCGACCUGCACGAAUGGUGUAAUGAUCUGGACACUGUCU